rnacentral:lncRNA from 1 species
CACUGGGCGCUGCAGCACCCCGACUCCUUCCUGCUGGAGCCGGCGCUGGCGGAGGUGGUGGCGGAGCUGCGGCGAGCGGCGCUGCACGAGGGGCGCGAGGGGCACGCGCGGCUGCUGGACACCAGCCACGUGUAAGGGCGGGCACGCGCGUGUGCAAGGCCGGGGGGGUGAGGGGGGUGCGGGGGCAAAAGGCGGGGGGGGCUGCGCACGUGUGUGUGCAAGGAGGGUGGGGGGAGUGUGCAACGGGGCGUGCACGGGGCUGUGCGUGCAAGGAAAACGUGCGUGGGGCAUGGGUGUGCAAGGUGUGUGUGCAUGGGGCUGUGCACAUGUGUGCAAGCAGCGCAUGCACAUGCAAGCAAUGCAUGCAUGGAGCAUGUGCAUGCAAUGUGUGCAUGGUGCAUGGUGCAUGGUGCAUGGUGCAUGGUGCAUGGUGCACGGUGCACGUCGGUGCCCGGUGCACGUGCGUGUGACCCCCGCGUGCAGGCUGCUGCCUCCCCCCGCCCGGCCCCCUCUGGCCCCCCCCCGGCCCCCCCGGGACCCCCGGGGGCAGCCCCAAGCGCAAGCUGUCGCUGCUCUUCGAC